AUACGGAGGGUGCAAGCGUUAAUCGGAAUUACUGGGCGUAAAGCGUGCGUAGGUGGUUUGUUAAGUUAGAUGUGAAAGCCCCGGGCUCAACCUGGGAACUGCAUUUGAAACUGGCAUACUAGAGUAUAGGAGAGGAAAGUGGAAUUUCAGGUGUAGCGGUGAAAUGCGUAGAUAUCUGAAGGAACAUCAAUGGCGAAGGCAGCUUUCUGGACUAAUACUGACACUGAGGUACGAAAGCGUGGGUAGCAAACAGGAUUAGAAACCCCGGUAGUCC
rnacentral:rRNA from 1 species